GACUUAAAAUUUUUUGACUCACUGCGUAAGAAGUUUUACGAUGGCUCCAAAUACAAAACACUCCUACUUCGUAGCAAGUAUUAUAGUCUGACGAUCGAAGAGUUCCUCGAUUUGGUCUGGUUUGUUUUCCUGGAUCUGAUCGGAAAUUCUAAUUAUUAAAUGACAAUAAACUUAUCAUAGAGUUGAUGGUUUAUACUGAAAAAUAAAAAACAAGAAUCUGUUAAAAGUGUUAGAAGCAAGAUAAUUUUCUACAAAAGAAUAACGUUGGAUAUGAUUGAUAGAAAAUUGAGUUAAAGGAUUGGA
rnacentral:lncRNA from 1 species